CAUGGAUGUAAAGUUCCACUGGCAUGGAUGAAACAGGAGGGUCAGGGACAUAAACAGCAGAGCCCUUAAGUUGCUCAGGUUUUUUGAAAUCUCCUCUCCAUACCUUGAGGACUGGAUGUAUGAAGAAAAUUCCUUCAGUCUUGGAGCUGGAAAAGCAGGGAAAGUGCAACAACUGAACUUGUUCUGGAAUGACCAUGCUGAAAACACCAUCUUUUUUGUCCUUAUAUUGGUGACAGUAAGUCCUGCAUCUCUGAAUACACUGGAUUAAGUCAAGAUGGAGUCUACUUUUCUAUUUUUACUUCUCGGUUUCCAGCUUAAUUUGCCACGUGUAAUGGACAGUUCCCUGCUAACAAUUGGCAAUGGAUGCUGGUGCUCAG
rnacentral:lncRNA from 1 species